ACCUAGCUGCUCAGUCAGGAGAGCAUGAGACUUGUGAUCUCAGGGUCGUGAGUUUGAAUCCCACAUUGGGUA
rnacentral:tRNA from 1 species